CAACUACUCCCUCUGUCCCAAAUUUCUUGUCUUAGAUUUGUCUAGAUACGGAUGUAUCUAAUACUAAAAUGUGACUUGAUACAUCCGUAUCUAGAAAAAUCUAAGACAAUAAUUUUGGGACGGAGGGAGUACUUU
rnacentral:pre_miRNA from 1 species